AUUAGCUAAACUCCAGCAUUAGCUAGCAUACCAUGUUUACCUUAAACCGUAAAUUUAAAUGGAAGCAGCAGCAGAGGAGUUUUCAUAUUAUUUGGUGCAAGAUAAAGCGAGAGACAAUGGAAAUGAGGCAGAUGAGAGAGAACAAGAACAGCUCAGGGAAAGGACUCUGUGAUGCCAGGUGAAGAUGCACAGCCUCAUGUUUUGAGCCACAAUUUGGACCCCUCUCUCUGGCAGCAGUUUGCCCAGGGUUGAAAUGACUCUCUCUUCGACUGGAAUACAGUAUGUUUCUAAUGCACCUCAACCCAAAUGACUGAUGGCACAGUCUCUCCAAAGAGCUGGAAGAUGCCUAUUUCUAGCUCCAUGACCAUAUUUGGCACUGACCUCAGGAAAAGGAAAUAAUGCUACCCAUGUCACCCUCCCUUCUUUGCUGGUUAUUUUUGACCAUCCCCCUUACAGCUCCCUUAACCCCCAAGCUCUUUUGUACUCCUUUUGAUAAACAUCAAAUGGCCUUUUUAAAAGAAAAGAAAAAACUCCUUACAGAAUGACUUUUAUGGUCCGAAGAGUCUAAGCAGGAGAGACUUCUGAGAUGAGUGCAGUCAUGUACAUUAAUGUAUCCCCAGUGGUUAACCCUUUAGGCUGGCUCGUGCCUCGAUAGUUUAUUUUUACUCACAUGUUACAUCAGGGGCAUGU